rfam:Rattus norvegicus chromosome 1, whole genome shotgun sequence.
GGGGAUUUAGUUCAGUGGUAGAGCGCUUGCCUAGGAAGCGCAAGGCCCUGGGUUCGAUCCCCAGCUCCG